CCCGCUGAACUUAAGCAUAUCAAUAAGCGGAGGAAAAGAAACCAACAGGGAUUACCUCAGUAACGGCGAGUGAAGCGGUAACAGCUCAAAUUUGAAAGCUGGCUCUUUUAGGGUCCGCGUUGUAAUUUGUAGAAGAUGCUUCGGGUGUGGCCCCGGUCUAAGUUCCUUGGAACAGGACGUCAUAGAGGGUGAGAAUCCCGUAUGUGACUGGGUGCUUUCGCUCAUGUGAAGCUCUUUCGACGAGUCGAGUUGUUUGGGAAUGCAGCUCAAAAUGGGUGGUAAAUUUCAUCUAAAGCUAAAUAUUGGCCAGAGACCGAUAGCGCACAAGUAGAGUGAUCGAAAGAUGAAAAGCACUUUGGAAAGAGAGUUAAACAGUACGUGAAAUUGUUGAAAGGGAAGCGCUUGCAACCAGACUUGCGCGCUGAUGAUCAUCCGGGCUUCUGCCCGGUGCACUCGUCUGCGCUCAGGCCAGCAUCGGUUUCGGUGGUGGGAUAAAAGCCUUGGGAAUGUGGCUCCUCUCGGGGAGUGUUAUAGCCCUCGGUGCAAUGCCGCCAACCGGGACCGAGGACCGCGCUUCGGCUAGGAUGCUGGCGUAAUGGUUGUAAGCGACCCGUCUUGAAACACGG
rnacentral:rRNA from 1 species